rnacentral:SRP_RNA from 1 species
GCCAGGCAUGGUGGCGCAUGCCUGUAAUCCCAGCUACUAGGGAGGCUGAGGCAGGAGAAUCACUUGAACCUGGGAGGUAGAGGUUGCAAUGAGCUGAGAUCAUGCCAUUGUACUCCAGCCUGGGCAAAAGAGUGAGACUCUGUCUCAA